rnacentral:misc_RNA from 1 species
GCUAAUCACUAAUGAGUUACAAUUAACACGGUCAAAAACCCAGCUCAGAAUACAGAAAAAAUGCUGUGAGUGUGUUAUUAAUGGUGACCUUCUAAAACAGGCACUUCCUCUGAGUUUUGACACAUCUUGGUGGAGAGCAUAAUUGGAAGCACAACAAAAGCGGUAAGUUCACCGUUUCCCACGCGCCACCGGGAAUAGGCCACUUGGCAGCUUCAGGGACCAAAGCAUCCAUCCCCAAGCAAAAGUGGUCAUUUAUGAUGAGAUACAGAAAGGCAUCAAUUUACCAAGAACAAGAUUAAAGGCGAUUGAAGUCAGACCCUACAACCACAAACCCCACUUCUUUAGACUUUAAAUCUGUUCACCAUCAUGGCCUUCUUAAUCAAUCAGCGUAAAACCUUUAAUUAGCUUGGAGAUUAAUGAUCUAACAGAUCGCAAAAUACCCAAUG